rnacentral:rRNA from 1 species
GACCUGGCUGGGUGGUCUUGCCGCAAGGUAAGCACUGCCUCUGGUCGGGUCUUUCCUUCUGGGGAACCUGUGUGCCCUUAAUUGAGUGCGCAGGGGAUCCAGGACUUUUACUUUGAAAAAAUUAGAGUGUUCAAAGCAGGCAUUUUCGCUUGAAUACAUUAGCAUGGAAUAAUGGAAUAG